rnacentral:rRNA from 1 species
AACGAACGCUGGCGGCAUGCCUAACACAUGCAAGUCGAACGAAGUCUUCGGACUUAGUGGCGCACGGGUGCGUAACGCGUGGGAAUCUGCCCUUGGGUACGGAAUAACUCAGAGAAAUUUGUGCUAAUACCGUAUAAUGUCUUCGGACCAAAGAUUUAUCGCCCAAGGAUGAGCCCGCGUAAGAUUAGCUAGUUGGUGGGGUAAAAGCCUACCAAGGCGACGAUCUUUAGCUGGUCUGAGAGGAUGAUCAGCCACACUGGGACUGAGACACGGCCCAGACUCCUACGGGAGGCAGCAGUGGGGAAUAUUGGACAAUGGGCGAAAGCCUGAUCCAGCAAUGCCGCGUAAGUGAUGAAGGCCCUAGGGUUGUAAAGCUCUUUUACCAGGGAUGAUAAUGACAGUACCUGGAGAAUAAGCUCCGGCUAACUCCGUG